GCCAGGGUGGUGUAGUGGUUUGAACAUUGGACUAUGAACUAUGGAGACCAGGGUUCAAAUCCCAACUUGGCCA